GCCUGGGAUAGCUUGGUAGAGCAUGAGAUUCUUAAUCUCAAGGUUGUGGGUUUGAACCCCACAUAGGGCA